rnacentral:rRNA from 1 species
AACGUAGGAGACAAACGUUAUCCGGAGUUACUGGGCGUAAAGGGCGUGUAGGCGGUUAGUUAAGUCUGGCGUGAAAGCUCUCGGCUAAACCGGGAGAGGUCGUUGGAUACUGGCUGACUAGAGGACGGUAGAGGCGUGUGGAAUUCCGGGUGUAGUGGUGAAAUGCGUAGAUAUCCGGAGGAACACCGGUGGCGAAGGCGGCUUCCUGGACCGACACUGACGCUGAGGCGCGAAAGCUAGGGGAGCAAACGGG